UACGUAGGGUGCGAGCGUUGUCCGGAAUUAUUGGGCGUAAAGGGCUCGUAGGCGGUCUGUUGCGUCGGGAGUGAAAACUCAGGGCUUAACCCUGAGCCUGCUUCCGAUACGGGCAGACUAGAGGUAUGCAGGGGAGAACGGAAUUCCUGGUGUAGCGGUGAAAUGCGCAGAUAUCAGGAGGAACACCGGUGGCGAAGGCGGCUAUCUGGACCGACAUUGACGCUGAGGCGCGAAAGCGUGGGGAGCAAACAGG
rnacentral:rRNA from 1 species